UACCGUACUGCAGACACGUGAAAGCACCUUUCGCUUUUCCAAAAGCAAAACCAAUCAUUCAACGGAGUAGUUUCGUACUUAGUUCUCAAACUAGCUUCAAAUAACAUUCAUCAAAGUAAAAAUCUAAAAUUUAUACUCAAAUUACCCCAAAAAAAAAAAGAGAGAAAAUAAAAAACCAUGAAACCUCUUUUGUGUUCUUCGUCAUUUCCUUUCUAUCCUUCUCAAAUUUGAUAUCAGUAGCCAAAUCCAGCUCCCCAACUAAUCAUGAUGCAUCUUUUAAAGAAGACACAAUAGUAAAUAAGAUGUCAUGCAAUGGACAACAACUCUCUUCAAUUGAAAAUGGUCUCAAAUGUAACAAAGUUACAAAUAAUAACGUUGAUUGGGAAAAUCAUGCCAUCCAUGCCUACCGGAGGCAGGGUGGUCGUUGCGGCAGAGGCGCUGGUAAUCUAAAUAAUCAUGCUCCUACAACUCGUAAAAGCGAUGCACCAUGGCUUGUCAACAAUUGUUUUAUCUUUGCCUAUGUUACCUUUGCCUGCCUUCUUUUUAUGAUUUAAUUAUCAACUACUCCGUAAUGUGUACUUGCUAUAAUAUUUAGGCAAGUUGCCAAACUGUAACAGCUUAAGACUCUUCUGUUUUUUCAUACAAUUUUUUCACAAUUUUUUUUUUUUUAAAUGGGUGUUGAUUACAUACAUUUAGCACUUGUAUUUGUAUUUAAAAUUUGCAAUAUUAAUCUUUAGCCAAUAAAAAUGAUACUUUUCAUGUUGUAAGAA